CAGGAGCCUAAAGAGAUGUCUUUCUAUAGUCUGUUGGCCAUUUCAGAACUUGAACAGUAAAAUGGCAAAUUCAUUAGAAAGAAACAGCU
rnacentral:snoRNA from 1 species